CGGGUAUUAACCGCACGGCCGUUCUUCCCUGCUGACAGAGCUUUACGACCCAAAGGCCUUCAUCACUCACGCGGCGUCGCUGGAUCAGGCUUGCGCCCAUUGUCCAAUAUUCCUCACUGCUGCCUCCCGUAGG
rnacentral:rRNA from 1 species